rnacentral:ncRNA from 1 species
UUUAUUGAGAGUUUGAUCCUAGCUCAGGACGAACGCUGGCGGCGUGGAUAAGGCAUGCAAGUCGAGUGGG